UGCAGGGGGACAACUCAGUACUGACUUGUCCCUUAGUGGUUGAAGUACUCCAGUCAGCAUUCACGAGGCUGCUGCGAAGAAGUUUCUGAGGAGACUUAACGAUUUAGUGGAGAAAAGACACCAGUGUGCAUACAGCCAAGUGCUAAUGAGGCAAACCCAGCAGUGAGUGCAAAGCAAGUGCUGCAACCAGGGAAGGUUCUGGAACAGGGCCCUGAAGGAUGAAAAAUCAUUAUAGACAAGGCAGAAAUGAAUAUGGCAACAGUUAAUUUAAGCAUGAGGAUCAGUAGUAGCCUGAGUGUGGUGGUUCAUGCAUGUAUUUCUAGCUUUCUGGAGGCUGAGGCAGGAGAAUUUCAAGUUCAAAGCCUGCCUGGUCUGUGAAGAGAGACCCUGCCUCAGCAGCAGACAGAGAAUAAAGGCCACACGCGUGCAUGGAGCAUUUGUUUUCUAGAGAGCAGAGGUUGCCAUACUCAAGCUGAUGUGAGAUUUGCUCUAGGCAUGAACAGUCACCACUAACAGCUUCCAACGGCUGUUUUAUUUUCAAAAUAAAAACCUUCAGAAGCCUCUAUAGGACUCAAGUUCUAAAGAAUAAUUCUGAAUUCAUUAGGAUUCCCAGUGUUGGAGCUAAAAAAAAACAGGUCUUUAAUGGUGGUUCUAUGCAGCACUAAACGGUUUCACCCCAAAGCCCAACAUCUAACUCACAGGCCAAAAGUUCUGAGCCCCUUCACCAUGAAUCGGGGAUUCAGUUUCAACAUCUGUGAAUAGGCUGCUCUACAUGGAGGAACAGGGAUGCUGAAAGAUCAAACACAGGAUUCUGAACAAAGGAUAAAUGAUUAUGGCAGAGCUAAAUUCACAGCAUGUGGGGAGGCUUCACCAUCAAAAGGAUAAACAGCACAGAUGAGAACGCUUCUAACUGUGAUCCACGAAGCCUAUUGUCUUAGACUUAUAGACUGUACAAUGACCCUGUUUCAUGAAAAGGACCCUGAUAGCCACACACAGAGCUGGAGUCCACCCAGGGUCCCAUGCGUGCUAGGUCCUUAUGCCAAAGCGCCGCGUCAGGAAACUUCAUCUGGAAUGCUGAAAUUAAAGGUGAACUUCCUGAAGUCUGCACGUUUAUUAUCACAAACAAAAUUGAAAUGACCUCCUAGAGCGGUUUGGUAGGAACUAGAGUAACAUGGCGGGGCUUUCAAGCUGGAAAUGAAUGAGAUCAGGGAUGCAUUUUCUGCAAAACUAAAAAAGAUAAUGUCUGUAACUGAGGGUCCUA
rnacentral:lncRNA from 1 species